AUGAAUAAAACCUUCUAUGGUCAUACAUCCAAUGUUGAUGGUUUAUUGAAUCCCGAUCGUGGUAACACACAUAUUCAUAGUACUGAUGCGAAAAGAUGCAAAGUUAAUAAUGAUAGUGCAAUUUAUUUGUGGCACUAUCGUUUGGGUCAUAUCGGUGUAAAGCGCAUAAAGAAACACCAUAAAGAUGCACUUUUAGAAUCACUUGAUUAUGAAUCAUUUGAUGCUUGUGAACCGUGCCUUAUGGGCAAGACGACUAAAACUCCGUUCUCCAAAACAAUGGAACGAGCUAGUUACUUAUUGGAAAUAAUACAUCCGAUGUAUGUGGUUCAAUGA
rnacentral:rRNA from 1 species